rnacentral:rRNA from 1 species
UGAAAGGUGCUUGCAUCUUGAUUUAAUUUUGAACGAGUGGCGGACGGGUGAGUAACACGUGGGUAACCUGCCCUUAAGUGGGGGAUAACAUUUGGAAACAGAUGCUAAUACCGCAUAAAUCCAAGAACCGCAUGGUUCUUGGCUGAAAGAUGGCGUAAGCUAUCGCUUUUGGAUGGACCCGCGGCGUAUUAGCUAGUUGGUGAGGUAACGGCUCACCAAGGCAAUGAUACGUAGCCGAACUGAGAGGUUGAUCGGCCACAUUGGGACUGAGACACGGCCCAAACUCCUACGGGAGGCAGCAGUAGGGAAUCUUCCACAAUGGACGCAAGUCUGAUGGAGCAACGCCGCGUGAGUGAAGAAGGCUUUCGGGUCGUAAAACUCUGUUGUUGGAGAAGAAUGGUCGGCAGAGUAACUGUUGUCGGCGUGACGGUAUCCAACCAGAAAGCCACGGCUAACUACGUGCCAGCAGCCGCGGUAAUACGUAGGUGGCAAGCGUUAUCCGGAUUUAUUGGGCGUAAAGCGAGCGCAGGCGGUUUUUUAAGUCUGAUGUGAAAGCCCUCGGCUUAACCGAGGAAGUGCAUCGGAAACUGGGAAACUUGAGUGCAGAAGAGGACAGUGGAACUCCAUGUGUAGCGGUGAAAUGCGUAGAUAUAUGGAAGAACACCAGUGGCGAAGGCGGCUGUCUGGUCUGUAACUGACGCUGAGGCUCGAAAGCAUGGGUAGCGAACAGGAUUAGAUACCCUGGUAGUCCAUGCCGUAAACGAUGAAUGCUAGGUGUUGGAGGGUUUCCGCCCUUCAGUGCCGCAGCUAACGCAUUAAGCAUUCCGCCUGGGGAGUACGACCGCAAGGUUGAAACUCAAAGGAAUUGACGGGGGCCCGCACAAGCGGUGGAGCAUGUGGUUUAAUUCGAAGCAACGCGAAGAACCUUACCAGGUCUUGACAUCUUUUGAUCACCUGAGAGAUCAGGUUUCCCCUUCGGGGGCAAAAUGACAGGUGGUGCAUGGUUGUCGUCAGCUCGUGUCGUGAGAUGUUGGGUUAAGUCCCGCAACGAGCGCAACCCUUAUGACUAGUUGCCAGCAUUUAGUUGGGCACUCUAGUAAGACUGCCGGUGACAAACCGGAGGAAGGUGGGGAUGACGUCAAAUCAUCAUGCCCCUUAUGACCUGGGCUACACACGUGCUACAAUGGAUGGUACAACGAGUUGCGAGACCGCGAGGUCAAGCUAAUCUCUUAAAGCCAUUCUCAGUUCGGACUGUAGGCUGCAACUCGCCUACACGAAGUCGGAAUCGCUAGUAAUCGCGGAUCAGCACGCCGCGGUGAAUACGUUCCCGGGCCUUGUACACACCGCCCGUCACACCAUGAGAGUUUGU